AUAAUACAUGCUUUUAUCUUGUAUUAUAUCCACGUUUCUCCUACUCCUAAUGGGACUGUAUCAUGCACAUGCUAUCCAAUGUAGUUCCGCUCCAUCUGUCAUCAUAUUACCGCGUCGAAUGCACAUGAGUUUGUGUACAGACGUGAAAUUGGUUUAUUUCCGUUGCCUACAAGACUAUAUUGAAACGUUUUACGGAAAAGUGAAUGAUUACUAACAUGAUGAAACAAGUAAAGAAAAAAAUCAGUUUUAAAAACAUGCACGCCGUUAAAAAUAUGUUUUUAAUACAAUUAACGAACGAAAUUAGAUUUAUUUCUUAAAAUGACAAGUAUGUAGGUACGAGUGUUUACAUUUCUUAAGAGCUUUUGUGGAUAGAUAUACCCAUCCUGUCAGUUUUUACCGCGAAGCUGCGAAGCGUUUUCAUGCCAUGGAUACAACAAAGUAAUCAUCAUCGUUGAUUCUGAGAAGAUCCUGAAGAAGACUCUGAGAAGAUCUUCGUCAGUGAGAAGAUCCGAUGAGAAACUCGGUGGGCUGUGUCUAUGGGUUAGUUUACUCGCCGAGCCCUUCGCCGCUAGCGACGGGUUCGACGAGAACCUAAAAGCACCGUUAGUGGAUCGGGAGGAUCCGAAAUGACGUGUUUAGGACGAUGUCGACUGUUUACCAUUCGGUCCGCAGUAUCGGGUAUGUAGUUUCCGACGGCCACGACAAGACGAUUUUCGUGUCAUAACUUUCUCAAAGUGGCGCACUGAUGCCGACUGAAAAUACUUACUGACGGAGUCAAGCUCUAGAUCAUCAUGGAGAUCCACGUCCCUCAAGAACCGCGGUGCUCUGCCGGCUAUCCUGCAAAAAUGGGAUUGGGUAACUUGAAGGGGUUUCAGAUUAGUGCGGGCCGCGUGAGCGAUCACAACACUCGCAUAGGUCAUGACCGGGCGAAUGCUAGUUUUGUAGACUAUUACCUUAUUACGGGGACAAUUUACUUCGCUUGCAAAUCAUCCGAUAGUAUACUCCCAAAAGCCACACAUAAGCGCGCUGGCACAAGCAGAACCAACUUAAUCAGCUUGUAUGCGUUCUGUUUCCCUACCUAUGCUGGUAACCUUAGUCACGUAACCAAUCUCACGGGGCUCUAACCUGACGAAGCUGUAAGUAGGUGGGCGUAGGCGUGUUUUCUCUUUUAACACUAAAAACAAAAUUUGUUGUAGGUUUGUUCACAUUCAAUUACAAAUCUAAAACAAAUUCGUAAUUUAAUUAUUAUUAUAUUUGUCUACAAGUUUUAUUUAUAGGAACAAAAAUACUAUUUGGGCAUAAACAAGAUCUAUUAGUUAAAAUGAAAACACCAUGGAGGAUAUUUUAAUUAAGAGCUGAAAAUCUUCAAUAAAAACCUAACUAACUAACUCUAGUUUAAUUUACAUUAAUAAUUUUAUUAAUAGACGAGUGUACAUAAAAUAAAAUAUGCGAAUAAAAAAUAACCAAGAUUAUAGAAAGCUAAUCGAAGCUUUGUAUCGUCCAAACAAUUAAACCUUCUGUAUACAUUUGUAAUCUCUGGAAGAGACUAAUAAGGUAACCAUGGCAACGCACAAAGACCCAAUCUCAGUUUUAAUCACGACGAAUUCGGAUGAACGAACCCCUUUGAUUCGGUUCUUUUGAUAGUGAGUGACUCAGUCGCGAUAUUUGAUUUAUAAUUUUUAUACAUUAUGAACGUAAAAUAAUUGGGGUAUUUUCUAGAUUAUUUAACAUCUAAUUUCGGCCAAGAAACAUGUGACUGUUGGAUUUUAAAUGCAUUAUUAACCUCUUUAGGGUUAUUGACACAUAUUAAUAUGUGUACGUAGUUUUUUUAAAAGUUAUUUAUACAUUUAAUUAUACGGUAAAUUGUCACACAUGAGGACUUUCCUUUUAAUGUAUACUCACUAAUUUUGUUUUUUUUCUUUUACCUACAAAAAAUUACAAAUCUCAGUAAAAAUUAUAUUAAAUUUAUUUUAUUUGUAUGUACCUUAAAGAUUUCGUCUCUGAGGACGUUAUAAUAAUCUAACAUCUACAAAUGGCAUGGAACAUUAUUAUCAUUCAAUAUUUCGCACCUACGCAAACUUUUGUCUAUUUAAAAGUAUGUAUUUGAAUCUUCGGAAAUAAUGUAUGGACUAUGGAAAAAUAAACGCGCGAAAUUUAACCCAAAAAA